rnacentral:rRNA from 1 species
UACGGAGGGGGCAAGCGUUGUUCGGAAUUACUGGGCGUAAAGGGCGCGCAGGCGGCUGCUCAAGUCAGGCGUGAAAGGCCUGGGCUCAACCCGGGAAUUGCGCUUGAGACUGGGCUGGCUUGAGUGCGGGAGAGGAUGGUGGAAUUCCCAGUGUAGAGGUGAAAUUCGUAGAUAUUGGGAAGAACACCGGUGGCGAAGGCGGCUCUCUGGGACGGUACUGACGCUGAGACGCGAAAGCGUGGGGAGCGAACAGG